GACGAACGCUGGCGGCGUGCCUAAUACAUGCAAGUAGAACGCACAGUUUAUACCGUAGCUUGCUACACCAUAAACUGUGAGUUGCGAACGGGUGAGUAACGCGUAGGUAACCUGCCUGGUAGCGGGGGAUAACUAUUGGAAACGAUAGCUAAUACCGCAUAAUAUUGAUUAUUGCAUGAUAAUUGAUUGAAAGAUGCUAUUGCAUCACUACCAGAUGGACCUGCGUUGUAUUAGCUAGUAGGUGAGGUAACGGCUCACCUAGGCGACGAUACAUAGCCGACCUGAGAGGGUGAUCGGCCACACUGGGACUGAGACACGGCCCAGACUCCUACGGGAGGCAGCAGUAGGGAAUCUUCGGCAAUGGGCGAAAGCCUGACGGAGCAACGCCGCGUGAGUGAUGAAGGUCUUCGGAUCGUAAAACUCUGUUAUUAGGGAAGAACAUAUGUGUAAGUAACUGUGCACAUCUUGACGGUACCUAAUCAGAAAGCCACGGCUAACUACGUG
rnacentral:rRNA from 1 species